UACGUAGGGUCCGAGCGUUUGUCCGGAAUUAUUGGGCGUAAAGGGCUCGUAGGCGGUUUGUCGCGUCGGGGAGUGAAAACUCAGGGCUCAACCCUGAGCGUGCUUCCGAUACGGGCAGACUAGAGGUAUGCAGGGGAGAACGGAAUUCCUGGUGUAGCGGUGGAAUGCGCAGAUAUCAGGAGGAACACCGGGUGGCGAAGGCGGUUCUCUGGGCAUUACCUGACGCUGAGGAGCGAAAGCGUGGGGAGCGAACAGG
rnacentral:rRNA from 1 species